rnacentral:misc_RNA from 1 species
AUUUUUUUUUUUUAUAAUCAAAAUCUUUUAUUAAUAAAAAGUUAAGAAAAAAAACCUAGCUUGAAACCUUUAAACUAAACCCUGACUAAUAGGUCUCCUCAAUACAACUAGUCUUAGAGAGCUAUAGGCUAAGUGAAAAAACUUUUUCAAAAUCAGAAUUACUACCAAGCUGAGAUAAACAGAACCGAAACAAUAUCCAAGCUACUAACUAAUGAAAUCUUACAUAAAGCACAAAUAUUAAUGCCAAAAUAGAUCUAGAAAUGAACAAGACAUAAGAAACAAAGCAAACAGCAAAAAGCAACAAUCAAUCAACACAUCUACACAAAACAUAGUGAAGUAACAAAGGAACAGUAGCUAAUUAAUGCAUCUGCAUAAAUAACACAUCACAAAACAACCCAAUAGCAAUUCAGUUAACAAUAAAGGAGAUAAACAAGCCCAAUGUCUAUUCAAAAUAAUACAACCAUUAGCUGGACCAAGGAUGCAAGAAGAGGAUAGCCAAAAGCAGCUAGCACAAAACACAAUCAGCAACAUAAACUGCGUAGAAUGAAACACGUGAAUCCCAAGUAGCAUAAAAGCAAAUAAGAGCUAACCAUUCAACGGUGCAACAAAAGACUUUUUGCAAUUGACCAACCAACCAGACCCAGCAACUAAGACCUGAAAUCAAUAUUAAGAAAUAAACCGAAGAGAUUAAAACCAUGCAAUGAAAUAUCCUAGAUGAUACAGGCUUUGUUUAUCCAUUGCAUCAACUACCCAAUUUGCUUCUCUAUUGAUGCGAAUAACCCAGAACCUAGCUACCAAGGACAAGAGUUUGGAUUCAAUACCCAUGACACAACAACACUAGAAUCAAACUCCAAAACAAUACCAAGCGAGGAAGAGAAGAUACUAGGCCUUGAAUAGACAAGACUAAAGCCUUAUCUAUAGCCAAGAAUUCUAUAACAUUCAACUCCUCACAACCUAUAAAAUAGGAUAAUAAACAUAGGAAAUUCGCUAGAUGAUCCCUAAGCACUCCUCCUACUGCACAAGGGCUUGGUUUCCUAAUAGUCGAGCCAUCCACAUUCCAUUUGAUCCAGUAAAUAGUAGGAGGAGACCAACUAAUAUUGGAUGACACUUAUAUUCAUUCGUUCAAUGUUUACUUGCAUCAGGAGAGAGCAAGAAGUUCACCUAGUAUAUGGGAAAUUGACAUCCAUAACUUUCAGCCAAGCAACAGCUCUAUAAAGGAUCAAGCUACAAAUAGAAUUGGUAGAAAGGUCUUUAUCAUUAAACACCUUCUCAUUUCUAGCCAACCAGAUGGACCAUAAGACGGCAUAAGUAAGAGUAACCUAAAA